AUGGCCCUGGCCCCAGAAUUGAACAAACAAACAAAACUGAAAGAGGUAGCAGGGAUCCCACUGCAGGCUCCAACUGUCGACAACUGGAGUCAGAUUCAGAUGUUCAAUACCAAGCCAGAUGACUUCUUUAUUUGUACUUACCCUAAAUCAGGGACAAAAUGGAUUCAAGAAAUAGUAGACAUGAUUGAUCAGAAUGGGGAUAUAAAGAAGUGCCAACGAGCCAUCAAUCAACACCGCCCCCCUUAUAUUGAGUGGGCACGGCCACCCCAGCCAUCAGGUGUGGACAAAGCCAAUGAGAUGCCAGCUCCAAGGAUAUUAUGGACCCAUCUUCCCACUCAGCUGCUGCCACCGUCUUUCUGGACAAACAACUGUAAGUACCUUUAUGUGGCUCGAAACGCCAAAGACUGCAUGGUUUCCUACUACCACUUCUACAGGAUGAGCCAGGUGCUCCCCGAUCCAGGCACCUGGAAUGAGUAUUUUGAAACCUUCAUCAAUGGAAAAGUAAGUUGGGGAUCUUGGUUUGACCAUGUGAAAGGAUGGUGGGAAAUUCGAGACAGAUACCAGAUUCUCUUCCUCUUCUAUGAAGACAUGAAGAGGGACCCAAAGCGUGAAAUCCAGAAAGUAAUGCAGUUCAUGGGCAAGAAUUUGGAUGACGAAGUCGUGGAUAAAGUAGUCCUGGAGACAUCGUUUGAGAAAAUGUAAGAGAAUCCUUUGACAAAUUUUUCUACAAUCCCCAAGACUAUCAUGGACCAGUCCAUUUCCCCUUUCAUGAGAAAAGGAAUUGUGAGUGAUUGGAAAAACCACUUUACUGUGGCCCAGAAUGAGAGGUUUGAUGAAACCUAUAAGUAAAAGAUGGACGGAACCUCUCUAAACUUCUGCAUGGAACUCUGAUCAAGAUGAGAAGAUAGACAUCAAGGACAGGAGUCUGUCUGCAAGCCUCAAUCCAGCCAAAGGAAGCUCGGAAAGCAAACUGUUAAAUGCCAAGGACUGUGACACCGACUCUGUUAUUACUGACAUCACAUUACAAUUCACAAAAUCAGAUUAUGUCCAGUGUAUACUUUCUCCACUAUUCAGUACAAAUCAGUAAGACGGCUUAAUAAGCUAAUAAAUAAACAAACUUACUGAUUUUAUGAUAAAUUUUAUGAUGAUAUCCUUGUAAGAGUUAUAGCCUAUAUUCUAACUCUAAAUAACUAUCUUAUGCACAAAAACACAAAUAUUAGAAAUCAUCUAAAUGAAUGUACAGAAAUUCCUAAUGUCUUUCUGCUCAAUCGGUGUUUUUCCUGGUUACAGUGGGAAGACUCAGUUUGUGGACAACUUGUUGCAACAUGCUCACUGGAACAUUUUCUACCUGGUAGGAGGAAAUUGAGGGAAGGACUUCAAGGAGAUGUCAGAAAUCCAAAUCUUAAUAAACGGAAUCCUAGUUCUGGGUCAUAAAAGAAACAGAAGAAAGGCAUGAGGGUGACCUUUGGAAAACAGAAAUUGUAUCUUGAAAAAAGCAGAAUGGAAGCUUGGUAUUCAACUUGGAGCGAAUUGCGUUUUGAUCUCCUGUCAUCUCUUCUGAGGAACAGCUUGUACUUUUGCCCACUUUAGCAGAGUCCAUCUGCAUUUGCUUGCCAGCAUACUUCCUUCCACUUCCCACUCGUUCCAUGUCUUGGGCAUCCUUUUACUCCCAGUAACCAGGCAAUAUGGAGAAUACAGCAUGUUGCACGAUGGUUCGGAAGAUGGAAAGGCAAACACGUUUCGGGUCACAAAUUCUCAGCACUUACCCUUUCACUUUAGUUGCAGAUAUCAGCACUGCUAAGCGGAGAUCAGCAGGAGCAGCCUGUGGCAUGAGUAGGAUAUAUAUGUGAGCUCAGGGUACCUAGCAUGAGCUAGAAUGCCAUUUGCUUUCUAUCAUUCAAAUGUACACUUUCUCCUAAAUGUCGAGGAUGUGGGCACAGUGUGUGUUACUGCCAGCAAGAGCUAUGAGAAGGUGUGGUAGAUGUUGUGGGUGGAAGCUAAGAAACUGGAACAUGGCCUAGAAGGGAAUGAGUGCUCCUGGCCCUUGGUCUUCCUUUCUCUUGUUUCUUGGCCAUGAAAAAUUCAAUAAAAUGAGGUGGAUAGUUUUGCUUUGCCAUUUACCCUCACCAUGAUAUUCUGUCCAUCUCUCCACAGAAUGUAAAUUCCAAACCCAAGAGCUAAAAUAAAGCUUUUGUCUUUAUAAGUUGCUUUUCCCAGAUACUUGUUAUAAUGAAAGAAAGCUCACUAAUACAUUCCCAAUGAUGUGGUUAUAAAAUACUAGAAAAGUCUGAAAUUUUGUUGAACUUACAGACAAUCGCUUGGUUACUGCCGAAAUCUAACCAUAUGUGUAUAGUUAAUUAACAAUGUCUAUUAUAUAGAAAAAAUUAUAUCUGAAUUGUAUUGUAAAUUUUUAUUGUUUGCUUCUAAGUCUUGAAAUUAUUCAAAGUUUCUCUAGGUAGAGAGUCCCCUCUUACAAUCCAAACUAAACUGAAGCCUACAUCUGCUUCCUGUCAGGGUUAAGUUCAUAAGAGCCCAGAGUCACUCUAGCCUAUAAAAGGAAUGACUCUGGUAUCCAACCAUCUACUGGUUAACUGUAGAUUUAAGGUAAACUUUGGAAACAUAAUAGUGUCGAACUUAAGCCUCUUUUGGCUUUAUUUUUCUGGGAGUUUCCUUUGUAUUCAGAAAUUAAAAUAGCAGAACUUGAAAGAGAUAAAUUGUAAAACAUAUUAUGUUGGCUUUGUAAGUACAGGAUUGUAUUCAUAAUUUACGCAUUGGCAAUUUUUAACUAUUACUUUUAGAGACAAGAAUUAAUCAAGCCAAUGAAACAUUACAUCAGAAGAGUAGUUAAGUAACUGUUAGAACGUUUAUAAUCAUUUUAGUUUUACUAGCAUUGACUUGUGAUUAUUUUACUAGCAUGUCUCUAUAUACACAAAAUUCAAUAAAAGAGUUUCAGUUACUCCA